GCAUCCAUGGCUGAAUGGUUAAAGCGCCCAACCGGGCAAAUUCGUAGGUUCGAUUCCUGCUGGAUGCG
rfam:Helianthus annuus linkage group 16, whole genome shotgun sequence.